rnacentral:lncRNA from 1 species
CUAGUUGGAAUGUAUGUGGCCUUGUUGGCUUUCAGUUAUCAGAUGUAUAGUUGUCUAUAGUAGCCUUACUAGCUUGCCCCCUGUAAUCUGCAGAUAUACGUACAUAUAUCUUGUUGGCAGGUUUCGUCUCCUUCAUGUACGUUGUCUUCGUAAUUCAGAAGAUGUUAUACAUGUUCAUAUCCUAGAUGUAUACUUAGGGGUGUUUGACAAGUAGUAUUCAGACACCCAUCGCGGCCAUCGGUUUGGGUCGUGACAGGCUGCACGCUGCAACAUGUUGUUAUUGAUUCAUCAUUUUGUGAGGCCACCGGCUUGAUUGAUUUAUGACACGAGGUGGCUUGUUAUGAGGUCACGAACCUGAUUGAUUUAUGCCACGAGGUGGCUUGUUAUAGCGUUUGGGUUGUAGGAGCCCAUCCGGAGUCUGUACAUCCCCAACGAGUGUGGGUACCCUGAGUAAGUGAUAUGAUGUUUUAUUCGAGGGGUUUCUCUUGAUUCAUGUUGUGCCCGAAGGGCUGUUUACGAGCAAUUGUGAG